GAUGAACGCUGGCGGCGUGCCUAAUACAUGCAAGUCGAGCGAAUGGAUUAAGAGCUUGCUCUUAUGAAGUUAGCGGCGGACGGGUGAGUAACACGUGGGUAACCUGCCCAUAAGACUGGGAUAACUCCGGGAAACCGGGGCUAAUACCGGAUAAUAUUUUGAACUGCAUGGUUCAAAAUUGAAAGGCGGCUUCGGCUGUCACUUAUGGAUGGACCUGCGUCGCAUUAGCUAGUUGGUGAGGUAACGGCUCACAAAGGCAACGAUGCGUAGCCGACCUGAGAGGGUGAUCGGCCACACUGGGACUGAGACACGGCCCAGACUCCUACGGGAGGCAGCAGUAGGGAAUCUUCCGCAAUGGACGAAAGUCUGACGGAGCAACGCCGCGUGAGUGAUGAAGGCUUUCGGGUCGUAAAACUCUGUUGUUAGGGAAGAACAAGUGCUAGUUGAAUAAGCUGGCACCUUGACGGUACCUAACCAGAAAGCCACGGCUAACUACGUGCCAGCCGCCGCGGUAA
rnacentral:rRNA from 1 species